AGGGGCGCGGCCGCGAACGGUUCCCGGAGACGGGAUGAAAAGGGAAGUCGGGAAGGGCUGAAACGCUCGACCCCGCGCUGCCCCCGCAACUGUGAUCGGCGAGUGCCGCCCACCCCAUGCCACUGGAGCGAUCCGGGAAGGCGGGGCGGCACGUUUGACCCGAGAGCCAGGAGACCUGCCGGUCGCACGUCGAUCCA
rnacentral:ncRNA from 1 species